rnacentral:lncRNA from 1 species
GUUAAAAUAUUACAUACUUUUAAAAAUAAAAUAAAUAUACAUGAAUAUGUAAAAAAUAAUCAAACAUUCAAAGUAAAAAAAAAGAUAGUUUCUUUAGCUUGAUUCCCUUAUUGUGCGAUCGUCGGAAUUAAUAUUUUUGAAUCUGCAUCAAUAAUGUAAUUUUAUCAUAGCCAUCAAAAUUAUAAUAAUAUACAUAUGUAGUUUUAAAUUAAAAAUUAUUAUAAAAAUGAAAAGAAGGAAGGAAGAAGUACAUGGAAACAAAGAAGAAAUAAAAUUAAAAAGAAUGUAAUAUAUAUAUUAAACAAAAUAUAUAAUAAACUCUUACAAUGAUAUCUUAAUUGAGUUUUCAACCCAUGCAAGAACAUAAACAAAACAAAGAGAAUAUUUAGGAUUUGAAACAUGGUGGAGGAGGAUGUGAGAAUGAUUAUUUAUUGGAAAAGAAGUGAUGGAAGUUACAUUUCUAAACUAAUUAGAUUAUAGGGGUUACAAUAAUAAUUAUAGUGUGAUUGAAUGACAAUGAAUA